UACGUAGGGGGCUAGCGUUGUCCGGAAUCAUUGGGCGUAAAGAGCGUGUAGGCGGCUAUACAGGUCCGUUGUGAAAACUCGAGGCUCAACCUCGAGACGCCGAUGGAAACCGUAUGGCUAGAGUCCGGAAGAGGAGAGCGGAAUUCCUGGUGUAGCGGUGAAAUGCGUAGAUAUCAGGAGGAACACCUGUGGUGUAGACGGCUUUCUGGACCAUAGCUGACGCUGAGACACGAAAGCGUGGGUAGCAAACAGG
rnacentral:rRNA from 1 species